AAAAAAGAAUUGAGGGUAAGGGGUUUCUUCUCUUCAGGGCGUCUCUGUCGAGAAGUGACGACUACGAUCGGACUAUCUCUUACGAUUUUUGAGAUUGACUAGGGUUUUGGGGGUUUCGAUAAUUAUCAAAGAUGUUGAAGCUAUUGACGAAGAAAUAUCACAUUUAGUAUAUUCUAUUCGUCUACUUUUAACUCUGUGGACCAUCAAAGUAACGAACAAACAAAAUUGCGACAUUUGCUCCACCUGAGACAUAACCCAAACGUGGAUGUUCAGGACGUAAUUCCUCUUCCCAACAGUAAAAAACUGUUCAGAUCGAUAGAAUUGAAGAACGGACUUUGUGCUCUGCUCGUCUCAGAUCCAGACUUAGAAUGGAAUGGUUCGCCAGCAGCUGUAUCUAUGGCCGUAAGGGCUGGCAACUUCCUUGAUCCUCCGGAAGCACAGGGGCUAGCCCAUUUUCUUGAACAUAUACUGUUCCUAGGCUCUGAUAAAUUUCCCAUGGAAAAUGCUCUUGAUAACUACUUAAAUAUGCAUGGAGGCGACUCAGCUGCAGCCACAGAUGAUGAUCAUACUAUAUUCUUCCUCUUUGCUGAGUCAAAACUACUUGAACAUGCGAGUGUCUGCAAAUUUUAAUCAAUUCUUUUGAUUUUUGUAUUCCAAA